rnacentral:rRNA from 1 species
AAUAUUGGACAAUGGGCGCAAGCCUGAUCCAGCCAUGCCGCGUGAGUGAUGAAGGCCUUAGGGUUGUAAAGCUCUUUGUCCGGGAAGAUAAUGACUGUACCGGAAGAAUAAGCCCCGGCUAACUUCGUGCCAGCAGCCGCGGUAAUACGAAGGGGGCUAGCGUUGCUCGGAAUCACUGGGCGUAAAGGGCGCGUAGGCGGACUCUUAAGUCGGGGGUGAAAGCCCAGGGCUCAACCCUGGAAUUGCCUUCGAUACUGAGAGUCUUGAGUUCGGAAGAGGUUGGUGGAACUGCGAGUGUAGAGGUGAAAAUUCGUAGAUAUUCGCAAGAACACCAGUGGCGAAGGCGGCCAACUGGUCCGAUACUGACGCUGAGGCGCGAAAGCGUGGGGAGCAAACAGGAUUAGAUACCCUGGUAG